CAGCAGCAGAGCCGGACCCCAGGGUUCCAACGAGAAACCUCAUCUGGGAGCUCAGAACGCAGCAUGGAGCUGUGAAGCUGAAACACUGGGGAGCCGCAUGCAGUGAGGCCGCAAUUCAGCAGCAGUGCAUUGGGUCCACCCAGGGGGCUUUCUUCUGGGCUGUUUUGUGGGCCCCACCUCAACACAGAGGCUGGUAUUUCUUGGGUCUCUUGUUCAUCUGCUUUGGGCAGAGGUGACUGCAGGCCUUUGGUGACUUUGGAAAUGCUGCAGCAAUGAAGGCUCUGAGACCUGGAUACCCGAUGGCACUAGACUCAGUGCCCUGCACAGAGCUCCUGCCCAGCGCGAUGAAGAAUGAAGUGGACACUGUGGCCAUCUGCACGUGGUAGCUCGGGGAGGGGAAAGGAGUCCAGUGUCCACCAUCACUCAGCUGCUCUCUUUCCCGCUGGUGCCUGCUACCCUCCUGUCUCCUCUCUGCCCUGCGGACUCCUCCCUCCCUAGCUGGGAGGGGACAGAUGGUCCAGGUGUCAUUUCCUCCAGAGCUUGGACAGAGCCGGGCCCUCCCUGCCCCCAGGAGGCUGCCCUUCUGUUAUUGUUAAACAUUCGGCAGACUCACCACUCCGUGCAGGGCAUGAGGCCGCAUCCUGGAUUAAGAAAACAAGCUCUUGGAGGGGAGAGACCUUCCUUAUUUCCUGUGCAUCCCUCAUAAGCAAAGUGACAAGCAGGUCACAAGCAAGUGGCCCAGCUCGAUUCGUGUUUGGAGUGUCUACUUGGGGGCGAGACUCGUAGCCAUCUGCAGCCACACAGGCCUCACACAAGGCCUCAUUCUAUCCUUACGGCAACUGGGGGAAAAGUUCAGGAAAAGCUUUCAAGUACCAUCAGGCCUGUUUCCCAGAAGAGGAAAUGGAUGCUGAUAGCAGCUAAUUUACCUGCCAAAAGCACAUAAUAGGAGGCACGGUCAGGACUUUAACCCUGAGCUUUUGACUCCAGGCCCUAGAUUCUAUAAACUCUUUAGGAAGCGUACUCCCUGGCCAAGUGCAGUGUUUCACUGGCUUGGGAACUUAACACGCGUAGGCAAAAGGGUCACAGUGAGCACACCUGCAUGCAGGAGGGACGGAAGGAAGAAGGUCAGCAUCACCCGGGGCUGUGACCCUCCUGCAGGCCAUGUGUCUCCCUUGUGCCCCAGUGACCACGAGGGCCCUCUCGUCUCUGCUGCGGAAUCCCUGCCAGCAGGCAACAG
rnacentral:lncRNA from 1 species